rnacentral:rRNA from 1 species
CACAAGCGGUGGAGCAUGUGGCUUAAUUCGAAGCAACGCGAAGAACCUUACCAGGUCUUGACAUCCCGAUGCUAUUUCUAGAGAUAGAAAGUUACUUCGGUACAUCGGUGACAGGUGGUGCAUGGUUGUCGUCAGCUCGUGUCGUGAGAUGUUGGGUUAAGUCCCGCAACGAGCGCAACCCCUAUUGUUAGUUGCCAUCAUUCAGUUGGGCACUCUAGCGAGACUGCCGGUAAUAAACCGGAGGAAGUGGGGAUGACGUCAAAUCAUCAUGCCCCUUAUGACCUGGGCUACACACGUGCUACAAUGGUUGGUACAACGAGUUGCGAGUCGGUGACGGCGAGCUAAUCUCUUAAAGCCAAUCUCAGUUCGGAUUGUAGGCUGCAACUCGCCUACAUGAAGUCGGAAUCGCUAGUAAUCGCGGAUCAGCACGCCGCGGUGAAUACGUUCCCGGGCCUU